AAAUUGAAGAGUUUGAUCAUGGCUCAGAUUGAACGCUGGCGGCAGGCCUAACACAUGCAAGUCGAGCGGUAGCACAGAGAGCUUGCUCUCGGGUGACGAGCGGCGGACGGGUGAGUAAUGUCUGGGAAACUGCCUGAUGGAGGGGGAUAACUACUGGAAACGGUAGCUAAUACCGCAUAACGUCGCAAGACCAAAGUGGGGGACCUUCGGGCCUCAUGCCAUCAGAUGUGCCCAGAUGGGAUUAGCUAGUAGGUGGGGUAACGGCUCACCUAGGCGACGAUCCCUAGCUGGUCUGAGAGGAUGACCAGCCACACUGGAACUGAGACACGGUCCAGACUCCUACGGGAGGCAGCAGUGGGGAAUAUUGCACAAUGGGCGCAAGCCUGAUGCAGCCAUGCCGCGUGUGUGAAGAAGGCCUUCGGGUUGUAAAGCACUUUCAGCGGGGAGGAAGGCGUUAAGGUUAAUAACCUUGGCGAUUGACGUUACCCGCAGAAGAAGCACCGGCUAACUCCGUGCCAGCAGCCGCGGUAAUACGGAGGGUGCAAGCGUUAAUCGGAAUUACUGGGCGUAAAGCGCACGCAGGCGGUCUGUCAAGUCGGAUGUGAAAUCCCCGGGCUCAACCUGGGAACUGCAUUCGAAACUGGCAGGCUAGAGUCUUGUAGAGGGGGGUAGAAUUCCAGGUGUAGCGGUGAAAUGCGUAGAGAUCUGGAGGAAUACCGGUGGCGAAGGCGGCCCCCUGGACAAAGACUGACGCUCAGGUGCGAAAGCGUGGGGAGCAAACAGGAUUAGAUACCCUGGUAGUCCACGCCGUAAACGAUGUCGAUUUGGAGGUUGUGCCCUUGAGGCGUGGCUUCCGGAGCUAACGCGUUAAAUCGACCGCCUGGGGAGU
rnacentral:rRNA from 1 species